GGAUUAGAUACCCUGGUAGUCCACGCCGUAAACGAUGAGAACUAGACGUUGGCUGACAUAGUCGGCCAGUGUCGCAGCAAACGCGUUAAGUUCUCCGCCUGGGGAGUACGGCCGCAAGGUUGAAACUCAAAGGAAUUGACGGGGGCCCGCACAAGCGGUGGAGCAUGUGGUUUAAUUCGAUGCAACGCGAAGAACCUUACCUGCCCUUGACAUCCUGCAAACCUUCCGGAGACGGAAGGGUGCCUUCGGGAAUGCAGUGACAGGUGCUGCAUGGCUGUCGUCAGCUCGUGUUG
rnacentral:rRNA from 1 species